UGAGUACGAGACGCUAAGGCGUCGAAGUAGUGUAUGUCAUACUUCCAAGAAAAGCUUGCACUGUCAUUCAUAAAAAAUGCCUGUACCAUAACCGACACAGGUGGGUAGGUAGAGUAUACUAAGGGGCGCGAGAUAACUCUCUCUAAGGAACUCGGCAAAAUAACUCCGUAACUUCGGGAGAAGGAGUGCCUUAUUUAUAUAAGGUUGCAAUAACAAGAUCCAAGCAACUGUUUACCAAAAACACAGGUCUCCGCUAAGUCGUAAGACGAUGUAUGGGGGCUGACGCCUGCCCAGUGCCAGAAGGUUAAAGAAGUUGGUUAGCAAUAGCGAAGCUGAUAACUGAAGCCCUGGUGAACGGCGGCCGUAACUAUAACGGUCCUAAGGUAGCGAAAUUCCUUGUCGGGUAAGUUCCGACCCGCACGAAAGGCGUAAUGAUUUGGAUACUGUCUCGGAGAGGGACUCGGUGAAAUAGACUUGUCUGUGAAGAUGCGGACUACCUGCACCUGGACAGAAAGACCCUAUGAAGCUUUACUGUAACUUGAAAUUGAAAUCGGACUUUAUUCGCGCAGUAUAGGUGGGAGGCGUUGAAAAUAAUCUUGCGGGACUAUUGGAGCCAUCAGUGAGAUACCACUCUUAUAAUGUUAGAUUUCUAACUUUGAAUCAUUAUCUGGUCAAAGAACAGUUUCAGGCGGGCAGUUUGACUGGGGCGGUCGCCUCCCAAACGGUAACGGAGGCGUACAAAGGUUUCCUCUGAACGGGUAGAAAUCGUAUCUAGAGUAUAAAGGCAAAAGGAAGCUUGACUGUGAGACCUACAAGUCGAGCAGGACGAAAGUCGGUCUUAGUGAUCUGACGGUACUGAGUGGAAAGGCCGUCACUCAACGGAUAAAAGUUACUCUAGGAUAACAGGCUGAUCUCCCCCAAGAGUUCACAUCGACGGGGAGGUUUGGCACCUCGAUGUCGGCUCAUCGCAUCCUGGGGCGGUAGUACGUCCCAAGGGUUGGGCUGUUCGCCCAUGAAAGCGGUACGCGAGCUGGGUUCAGAACGUCGUGAGACAGUUCGGUCCAUAUCCGGUGUGCGUUAGAAUAUUGAGAGGAGCCUUCUUUAGUACGAGAGGACCGAGAAGGACAUACCUCUGGUGUACCAGUUAUCGUGCCAACGGUAAACGCUGGGUAGCUAUGUAUGGAGUGGAUAACCGCUGAAAGCAUCUAAGUGGGAAGCCCACCUCAAGAUGAGUAUUCUCAU
rnacentral:rRNA from 1 species